rnacentral:rRNA from 1 species
AUAAGGAGUCGAACCUGCCCAGUGAAAUAGUUUCAACGGCCGCGGUACUCUGACCGUGCGAAGGUAGCAUAAUCAUUUGCCCUAUAAUUGAGGGCUAGUAUGAAUGGUUUGACAAGAAUAAAGCUGUCUCUUUAUAAUUUUAUAGAAUUUUAUUUUUAGGUGAAGAAGCCUAAAUAUAAUUAAAAGACAAGAAGACCCUAUCGAGCUUUAAAAGACCAUUAGAUUUUCAAGAAUUUAUAAAAAACAAUAACUAUUGAAUAUUUUAGUUGGGGCGACUAAGGAACAACUAAAGCUUCCUUUUUGACAAUUAAAUUUAUUGAUUUUGAUCCAAAAAUUUUGAUUAAAAGAAUUAGUUACCGUAGGGAUAACAGCAUUAUCUUUUUUAAGAGCUCAUAUCGAAAAAAAGGUUUGUGACCUCGAUGUUGGACCAGAAUGUCCUAAAGAUGCAGCAGUCUUUAAGGGUUGGUCUGUUCGACCAUUAAAAUUCU